rnacentral:lncRNA from 10 species
CGGGCAGUCAUGUGACCAGCGCUUUGUCCAGGUUUGCCCAGGACUGCCCUGGUCUUAAAAGUGGAGUCCCUCCCACAUCCCAGGAGACUCACUGGGUUUGGUCACCCCAGAGCGGGAGAGAGAGGAAGAGGACAGAAAAGCAGGGAAGGAGGCUUUCUCCAGAGGCGGGCAGACAAGGGGAAGGGCAGAAGUGACUUCCAUGGGUGCUGGCUAGAUGGGGAAACUCACUGAGAUGGACACUGGUGGCUGAUGAACUUUUCUGUUCUAUUUGUACCUUGCACUUCAAUGAAGAGUGUUAGAUGAAUAAGGAACGUGGCAGCUGCAGCAGGGGUCUGAAGCCCUGGUCACUGCCGGUGGCCUGGCACCAUGGGGGCUGUGCCCAGUGGGCUUUGGAAGGUGAGCAGUGGACAAAGAGGCCCCACCCUAACCAUCUUCUCCUUGCCUGGAACCUGGCGGCUCUGUGCUUGCAUCUUGAUUCCAGCUGACCCUGCUUUUCCACUCUGGGUGGCAACUCUUGAACCCAGGUCUUACUGACCCCAGAGAGUCAGCCACUGCUCCCUGUUGCCUUCCUGGGCCAGAGACUCUCACGGGGCUGUCUGCACUAAAGUGUUCUUUCUAUCCCCUGGCGCCCUGAGCAUCAAAGAAGCUUUACUCACUACGUGGGGACCCCUCGCCUUGGAUCACAAAGAGUCUCGACCUUCCUGGACAUCAGCUCAGACCAGAUGAUGUUAAAAAGCUUCGUUGCCGUUGCUGUCUGAUUGAUUACCAGCCAGAUACUCCCUGAACCCAUGCCCAGCCACCCACGCCUCCCUAAUUUCAAGGUCUGAAGGCCAGAUGGACUCAAGCAAGCCAUUUGCCUUUCUGAAAUCUCAGCUGCCUCAUCUGAGCAAGUGAGAUAAGCCGGCUUAUCUUGCCGCUGUGAAGCUGUCUGCAAGGCAAGGUGCCUAAUAAACGUCAGCCAUUACUCACGGGAAUCAAAGCAAAUGCUUAGCGAGCCUUCCUUUGUGCCAGGCACUGUUCUGAGCGCUCUAUGCAUAUGAAUUUGUUUAAUCCUCGCCACCACCUGGGAAGCAGAUACCAUUAUUAUUCCCAUUUUACAGGGGAGGAAACUGAGACAUAGAAAGGCAAAGUCAUUCAGAAUUAAGGUCACACAGUUCGUAGAAGACGGCUGAACACAAGAGGCCUGGUUCCAGACUCCAUGCCCUUAGCCAGUAAUUAUUAUUUCUGCUAAAAUAAUUGCAAUCACUAUUAUUAUGCUGACAGGUUUAGGGGCUUGCUCUGACCAGA